rnacentral:lncRNA from 1 species
GUAACACCCCUAGAGUGAGCCAAGAGAAGAUGAGACCUUUGUCAUUUUGAUUGAAAAGAUGUUUACCUGUUGGUCCCCAGCCUCACUCUUCUGAACCUCAGAUCCACUGAGUGUGUAUCCAGAGGUAAGUAUGUGGUAAGUAUGCUUGUCAUUUACAUUAUCUGUCAGCAUGAGUAUUGGUUUCCUAGAAACCUAAUAUUGAAAACACUUAGCAUUGCUAAAAGCAUUAAAUGAAAUAAAG